GACUGGUCCAAGUGCAGUGGUGUUCACAACUAAUUGAUCACAGAUAUUUUUGUUCCUUGUCUGCUUCUACUGAUUGACUUGAUUCACUAGCCUUAG
rnacentral:Y_RNA from 1 species